GUACACGCUGUGACUAGCAUAUCAAUAAGCGGAGGAAAAGAAACUAACAAGGAUUCCCUCAGUAACGGCGAGUGAAGCGGGAAGAGCUCAAAUUUGAAAUCUUGAAAGGUCACCUUUCACGAAUUGUAGUUUAAAGAAGUGUUUUCUGUUACGAUCGUAAUAUAAGUUCUUUGGAAUAGGACAUCACAGAGGGUGAGAAUCCCGUCUAUGAUUGCGAUUUGUAGCUUUGUGAUACACUUUCAAAGAGUCGGGUUGUUUGGGAAUGCAGCCCAAAACGGGAGGUAAAUUUCUUCUAAGGCUAAAUAUUGGCGAGAGACCGAUAGCGAACAAGUACCGUGAGGGAAAGAUGAAAAGAACUUUGAAAAGAGAGUUAAAUAGUACGUGAAAUUGUCAAAAGGGAAGCGUUUAACACCAGUGUUGUUUUCUGAAAAUCAACCUCUGUUAGCUUUAUGCAUGUUUGUUUAGACCUAAUCAGCUAUCUUGCAUGUUCUAUUGUUUGCAGUGGUGCACUUUUCAGUUUACAGGUCAACAUCAGUUUUUUUUACCGUAAAAAAGUUAAAGAAAGGUAGCUCAUGGCUCCGGUCGUGAGUGUUAUAGUCUUUUUCCUAUGCGGUAGGAGAGACUGAGGUCUGCAGUGUAGGCUAUUUGGCUAGAUACUCAGGUGCUAUGUGAUACCAUUUCAUAAACAACUUGUUGAUUAUGUUUUGUCUAUUGCAUACUCGCUUGUACUAUCAUACCUACGCUUAGGAUGUUGACGCAUGAGAUAUACGC
rnacentral:rRNA from 1 species